ACGGCAGAAUGGGAGGAACGCGCCUGCGCCAGGGUGCUGCUCGGGUUCUCGGCUCAGCCGGGUAGCCGUUCUCGGUCGGCGCACCUGCUGGCGUCAGUCGCUCAAGACUGAUUCUUCCCUUGGGUCUUCUUGAAGAAUACCGACUCUUCUCACAUCCUAAGUCAGAAGAGACGGGGAGAAAGAGCCGGCAUAACUCGGACGACGUCCCAGGGCGGUCCUCGCACGCCCGACCGGGCAGUUCAAAGUAAGGAACAGCUCUAUCCUGCUUCUUUCUGUAAGCAGCAUCUCAUUGUGCAGGAGCUCGAUCAUGCAACCUCCACCCCAGGCUGUCCCGUCUGGCGUGGUCCGGCCGCCUCCGUCCGGGAGUCCUCAGAACAUGUUCUGGUCCAACAGCCCGUACAGGAGACAGGCCAAUAGUAAUGCACCAGUGGCCCCGAUAACCUGCCCACUGCAGCCGGUGACGGACCCGUUUGCUUUUAGUAGACAGGCGCUCCAAAAUACAUCAUUGGGCAGUUCGUCUAAAAGCAGCCCACUCGUUGUGCAAGGCCCAGCCCCACCAUUGUCUCUUCAGCGUGCUGGUCUGCCUGGGCCACACACAAAUGCCGGGGAUAGCUCCCAAGGACCCUGCGAGCCUCUGCCGGCCCCUCCGUUGCAGCCCAGGUCAGAUGCCAGCCCAUUUCCCAGCGUACUGAGCCCCUCGGCACCUCCUGGGCCCGAGGUGAACAGGAGAGUCGAGGUCGCUCCCGGCCCGGAGCCUGAAGUUCAGAGCCCGCCGUAUCCUCCUCAGUACAUUCCAGGAGUGGGUCCGGACAGCUGUCGUGUGGGCCAUCCACAGGCGAGCACGCCACGGCCCGACAGACCCCUGAGCAGGCCGAGCCUGCACGACGGCACGGCGACACCAGCAGCGCCCCCUUUCCUCCCUCAGCCUCGUCAGCAAACGCCCGGGCAGUGGGGGCCGGUGCAGGGAGGCCCGCAGCCCUCAGGGCAGCAUUACCGGCCCUGCCCUGAGGGACCUGUGCAGAACACGGUGUGCCACGCCUCCAGCGCUGGCCACUUUCCCGCUCCGUCCAACCCGCGUCAGGGUCCUGGCCACGAGCAACACGGCCCCCUGGUGUCUUUACCGGGACCCUCGGCCAGUGACGGGAGAAAUGAGGCAGUCUACCUGCAAAGUGGAAACCACUCAGCAAAUAGCUUUGAUCCAGAAAAUGCAUUCAGGCAGAAUUCCAGAGUUGGGAACGCUCGGGCGGGCCAGGAGUUCAGGUUGAGUCCAGGAGUGAAUAGAGAGCAGUUGUCAGACCUGGCUCUCAUUAACCCCCUCGCUCAGGGAAACAGCCCAGAAAGCCACUCGCACAACCCCCUGGGUGCCGGGAGCAGCUGGACCCUGCCGGAAGCGGGCUCGGGAGCGCUCUCCAUGUUUUUCAAAGGAGGAGAGACAGAGAACGAAGAAAACCUCACAUCUGAAAAAGCAGUCUCUGCCGGUCAGUCUGACUUUGAUGGUUUCUCCCCCGGCCCGGGCCUCGGCCAGCCUCCUGCACACAUGGGGGCAGGAGGCGUUUAUCAGGCCUUUCUCAAGGGUUCCAGCAGCGAACCCACACAGCAGGGAGGAGACCCACAGCCUUACUUUUCUCAGUCUGCAGGCAUCCGACACGACAAAGCAACCACUAACGCUGCCGCUGUUGACAUGUGGGGUGACACAGCACGUGCGGGGACUCACGGUGCUGGUGGCCCGCGGUACGAGAACGUCGAGAACUUAGAGUUCAUUCAGAACCAGGAAGUUCUGCCAAGUGAGCCCCUAAGCGCAGACCCUUCCUCCCCAAGCGCUCAGCUCAGAUACGGGCCCCUUCCCGGGCCGGCUGUCCCCAGGCUCAGUGCCGUGGGCCACGCUGGAGACGGGAGCCCUAAUCUCGAGGCCCCAGAUGCGACGGCGCAGCCUGCGCGGGCUGAGAGCGUGUCUUCCAGUUACAGCAGCCAGAGCCCUCGGGGUCUUCCCGGUACAGCCAGGCCCCACGACUCGGGGGGCACGUUCAUUCAGCAGGAGGUUGGAAAACCUGAACAUGAGGCUCCGGGGAGGUUUUUUAAGCAGAUCGAUUCUUCUCCUGUGGGAGGCGAGACAGACAAGAACACUGUGAGCCAGAACUACCGCGGCAGCCUGCCCCAGCCCUCGGCCCCGAGCCCCCCAAAACCUACGGGAAUAUUUCAGACGAGUGCAAAUAGUUCUUUUGAACCAGUGAAAUCGCACUUCACUGGAGUAAAGCCAGUCGAGGCCGACCGCGCCAGCGUGGUGGGCGAGGUGAGGGGGCCCAGCGCCCACCAGAAGCAGCGCAGAGCGGCCGCUGCCACGCCCGACGCCUCCCCUGGCAACCUGGAGCAGCCCCCCGACAACAUGGAGACCCUCUUCCUGCCCCGGGUCUGUGCUCCACCUCUCACCGCACCCACGGAGGCCAGUCCCGGGCUUCUGCACGCCGCGGGGCCGCCCUUGGAAGCUGUGCUCCCCGCGCCUGAGAAGAGGCCCUUGACCAGGGCGCAGGGGGCUGUGAAGUGUGAGAGCCCAGCCACGACUCUGUGGGCGCAGAACGAGCUGCCAGAUUUUGGAGGCAAUGUCCUCCUGGCCCCAGCCGCCCCCGCGCUUCACAUGCCCGCGAAACCUCAGCCAUCUGAAGUGAUCCAGCCUCCAGACGAGGGGGUGUGCGGCCAGCAGUCCCGGCAGCCGGGCCCCAGCCCCACCGUGCAGAGCGGGGACGGCAUUGGUGCUUCCGAGAAUCUCGAGAAUCCUCCCCAAAUGGGCGCAGAGGAGGCCCUCCCGCCCCAGGCGGGUCCCGGAUACGCCAGUCUGCUGUCCUCCCCACCCGCCGAGUCUCUGCAGAAUCAGCCAGUCUUGGUCGCCCAGCCUGAUCACAGCUAUAACCUGGCUCAGCCGGUUAAUUUUUCUGUGUCCUCGUUGAAUCCUAAUGAGAAGAAUCAGUCCUGGAGAGAUUCUUUGGCGGCAGAUAAGCCCACAGUAAGCAGCCAGGCUGCUGGGGGUGAUUCUGGAGAAAACGCUCCUUUGUCUGGGACCCCAGCUGGCUCUCUCAUCUGCUCGCCUCUGCCGAACCACCUUGCCCAGAGUAAUUUCCCACAAGUUUGUGGUACCUCGGAAAUGGUUUCUAGCCAGCCUGCUAGUUUACUGGUUCAACAGCCAUCUCACCCAGUUCCAAAGAACUUGCUUCUGGAAAGUCAGAAGAUCCAUAAAGCAGAGAACGUUCUUCCCGAGUUAGGUACCGGUCCUGCCGGAAGCACAGGCGCGAUGCUAGUUCCACCUGCGAACAAUACCGCGGUCCCCGAUAGUAAUAAGGCAGAUCACUCCGGCAGUCGGGAUGAAGCUUCGGGAGCCCUAGACUUUACAUUCAGUCGGACUUUGGAAAAUCCUGUAGGAAUGUAUAGCCCGGCCCAAGCUGAUAGCCCAGCUUCUUGCCAGCAAACCAUCUCCAGUCAUCGACCGCGCGGGCCUGGGGCGCAUACCCCAGACCGUUUCUACCAACAGGUGACGAAAGCUGCUCAGGACCAGCAUGGCCCAGAGAGAGCCCAGCAGGAGACGGCCCCUCCCCCUCCCCCUCCCCAGGGGCCCAAAGCAGCACUUCCAGAGCCUUCAAACCCAGGAGGUCCACCAGGGCAAGGACAGCCCCCAAGCCCAGCCCAUCCAUCUGCAAGUCCGGCUCUAGCUGACAUGGGCCAGCCGCUGCUGCCUCGACCACCUCGGUCCUCCAGCGUGUCCGUCGCAUCCACCAGCUCAAGCCAGGCGGCCGCGCGGUCUGACCAGCAGUGGCUGCAGCCGCCGCCUCCAGACUUGGCGUCCUAUUACUAUUACAGGUCCCUGUACGAUGGCUACCAGCCCCCGUACCCCUCACCGUACCCGCCGGAUCCUGGCACCACCCCCCACUAUUACCAGCAGGACAUCUACGGCCUCUAUGAGCCCAGAUACAGGCCCUACGAUGGUGCAGCCGCUGCCUUCGCAGACAGCUACCGCUACCCCGAGCUCGAGCGGCCCAGCUCCCGGGCGAGUCACUGCUCGGACCGGCCAGCUGUCAGGCAAGGGUAUCCUGAAGGUUACUAUAAUUCCAAAAGUGGAUGGAGCAGUCAGAGUGACUACUAUGCAAAUUAUUAUUCCAGCCAGUACGAUUAUGGAGAUCCAGGUCACUGGGAUCGGUACCACUAUGGUUCUCGGUCCAGGGACCCCCGCACCUAUGACCGGAGGUGUUGGUAUGACGCUGAGUACGAACCGUAUAGGAAGGAAAGCUAUGCUUAUGGGGACAGGCCUGAGAAAUACGACGACCACUGGAGGUACGACCCCCGCUUCACCGGGAGUUUUGACGACGAGCCCGAGCCCCACAGGGACCCUUACGGGGAGGAGGUGGACCGGCGGAGCGAGCACUCAGCGCGGAGCCUGCACAGCAGCUUCAGCUCCCACUCCCACCAGAGUCAGGUGUACAGAGGUCGCAACGUGACUGCUGGGCCCUACGAGGCGCCCCCUCCACCGGGCUCCUUCCACGGCGAUUAUGCCUACGGCCCCUACAGCGGCGAUUUCCACGGCACCCCGGGCUUCCCAGAGUACAGCUACCCUGCUGAGGCCAGCUGGCCCUCCGUGGAGCAAGCUCCAUCGAGACCAGCUUCUCCUGAGAAAUUCUCAGGGCCUCACACCUGUGCCAGGUUCGGUCCUGGGGGUCAGCUCAUCAAAGUGAUUCCGAAUCUGCCUUCAGAAGGACAGCCUGCGUUGGUUGAAAUUCACAGCAUGGAGACCUUGCUGCAACACACGCCAGAGCAGGAGGAGAUGCGGGCGUUCCCGGGGCCUCUUGGCAAAGAUGACACCCAUAAAGUGGAUGUUAUUAAUUUUGCACAGAGCAAAGCUACAAAAUGUUUACAGAAUGAAAAUUUAAUUGACAAAGAGUCCGCAAGUCUUCUUUGGAGCUUUAUUGUUCUGUUAUGCAGACAGAAUGGGACCGUGGUGGGCACGGACAUCGCGGAACUCUUGUUACGAGACCACCGAACCGUGUGGCUUCCUGGGAAGUCGCCCAGUGAGGCCAACCUGAUCGAUUUCACUCAUGAGCCUGCGGAGCAGGUGGAGGAGGAGUCCGGGGAGGCCCAGCUCUCGUUUCUCACUGACAGUCAGGCCGCCACCACCCUUGAGAAGGACACGGAGCGGUUCCGAGAGCUGCUGCUCUACGGCCGGAAGAAGGAUGCUCUGGAGUCGGCGAUGAAGAACGGCUUGUGGGGUCACGCCCUGUUACUUGCCAGCAAGAUGGACAGCCGGACGCACGCCAGAGUCAUGACCAGGUUCGCCAACAGCCUUCCGAUCAACGACCCUCUGCAGACGGUCUACCAGCUGAUGUCCGGGCGGAUGCCAGCCGCGUCCACGUGUUGUGGAGAUGAGAAGUGGGGAGACUGGCGGCCGCACCUGGCCAUGGUUUUGUCCAACCUGAACAACAACGUGGACGUGGAAGCCCGGGCGAUGGCCACAAUGGGGGACACUCUGGCCUCGAGAGGGCUCCUUGACGCCGCACACUUCUGCUACCUCGUGGCCCAGGUUGGAUUUGGGGUUUAUACCAAGAAAACCACGAAACUUGUCUUAAUUGGAUCAAACCACAGUUUGCCAUUUUUAAAGUUCGCGACCAACGAAGCUAUUCAGAGGACAGAAGCCUAUGAGUACGCGCAGUCCCUGGGGGCGCAGCCCUGCUCCUUCCCCAGCUUCCAGGUGUUUAAGUUCAUCUACUGCUGCCGCCUGGCUGAGAUGGGGCUCGCCACGCAGGCCUUCCACUACUGCGAGGUGAUCGCCAAGAGCGUCCUAGCGCAGCCCCGCGGACACUCCUCAGUGCUUCUCCGCCAGCUGGUUCAGGUCGCCUCCCAGCUGCGCCUCUUCGACCCUCAGCUGAAGGAGAAGCCGGAGGAGGAGGCCGCUGCGGAGCCUGCCUGGCUGGUCCAGCUGCAGCUCAUGGAGAAGCAGGUGAAGGAGGGCACCGCGGCCUGGAGCCUGGACAGAGCCUUCCCCCCACGCUGUCCCAGCUCGCCACGCUCCGAGGUGGGGCCGUGUGACGGCCCAGCACCCGUGCAGCCGGCAGGCCUGGGCACCGAGAAUGCGCUGCUGGCGCCGCCAGUGCCCAGCGCUGACCACUUGGGCCAGGACGUGCGGCUGCUGCCCUCAGCUCCACUGACGCUCCCCGACGGUCAGCCGGCCUUCCCCGCCAGGGUGCUGAUGUGCCCAGUGCCGCCACCCGUGGGCCCUGGCGAGCUGGGGCCUGGCUGUGGACCCCCAGGGGCUGCACUUGGCCUUCCAGAGCCCUCUGGGCCUGAUCCUGUGGCUCCGUACCCAGGGCCUGGCCUGCCAUCUGGCGCACCAUCUCUCCAAGAGACUGAACAUCUGCUCCCGGAGGCCAGGAGCCAGGACGCAGGAAUGAUGCCACAAGAGGCACCCGGCAGAAACGCGCUGUCGGAGCUAGGAGAAGAGGAUUUUGGUGGAAAAUUUGCUAAUGUGGGCUCCUCAAGGACGUCCCAGGGCUCCGAGUCACCUCCGGGCUGGGGGAGCGCUGGCUCAGGGGCCCUGCAGCCGCCUCCGCCUCCGCCACUGACGCCCACGCCCGACGUGAAGAGACCUGUCCAGGCAGCCAGGAAAGAGACCAAGGAGCCUAAGAAGAGCAGCGACUCCUGGUUCUCUCGUUGGCUGCCUGUGAAGAAGAGGACAGAAGCUUACUUGCCAGACGACAAGAACAAAUCGAUCGUCUGGGAUGAAAAGAAGAACCGCUGGGUGGACACGAACGAGCCAGAGGAGGAGAAGAAGGCUCCGCCCCCACCUCCAACAUCCCUUCCCAAGGCUCUGCAAGCUGCCCACCCUGGCCCUGGAGGGCCCCCCAGACCCGCUGUGAACAUGUAUUCUAGAAAAGCAGCCCGAGCCCGAGCGCGCUACGUGGACGUCUUGAACCCGGGGGGCCCCCAGCGGAGCGAGCCUGCCCUUGCUCCCGCGGACUUCUUUGCGCCACUGGCCCCGCUCCCAAUUCCCACACACCUGUUCGGACCAGACCCAGACGCAGAGGAAGCACUGCCCGCCGAGGGGGCUGGCAGGGAAGGGCAGGCACCGACGGGGGGGCCAGAGCCUGCCUCGGAGCCCAAGGUGCUCAGUUCUGCGGCGACGCUCCCUGGACCUGAACGCCCACCCUCCGGAGCGGACGGUUCCCAGGGAGGAGAGCUUUCGCGCCGUAGUUCACUGAGCUCGUUAUCACGUGAAGUGAGCCAGCAUUUUAACCAGGCUCCGGGUGCUCACGCCCCUGCAGGGGGCCCUCCCGCAGCAGCGGUGCCCUUCUACAACCCUGCUCAGUUUGCACAAUUGGCAUUUUCGUGGGAGCAAGAGGAAGCACCUGUGUUCUGUCCACGGCCUCCCCUGGGCAUCCCUUGCACCCCUCGGUGGCAGGCCAGACCACGCUCUCCCUGGGCUCUGUAGACACCAGCUGCUGGAGUCAGCCUCACCCCACCACCCUAACCAAGCCGCAGGCACCUUUAAAGGGAAUGCCAAGAUGUGCUGCUGACUUGGUCUGUGGCCGUGGGCUUGCAAACAGAAUAAAACGAACAGAACAUGCCUGUUUGCCGAGAGAACGGCCUCUGCUGCCUCGGGAAGUUCAAGGAUGGGAAGGAUUGGCCAGAGGAAGUACCCAGCAUAUUGAGCUAGAUGGUCCCUGUCCUGGACUGGCAUGUGGAACCCUGAAGCGAUUAUUCCACCAAGAGCUCAUCAGACUGAUUGCCUGCGACUCCCGUCUGUUCCCAAGUGGAGACGGAUGCAGUGAUUCAGAAAUGAUUUAUGAAGUGUUGCCAGCAUUAAUUCCACCCCUUCAGGAAGCUGGAUGAAAAGAGGGAAUCUGUGACCUACUAGGAUCUUCCACCUGAAGGCAUGAUUUAAGGAUCCAACAUUCACAGUCAUCUGAGGAUGUUACACUAAGUGAAGCUGGAAGCAUCUCGGCUACGGGAGGACUUUGCUUUUCAGUAACUAAGGCACCUCUGAAAACCUAACGGUGAAUUACUGCCAGGUAAUCCCAGGGUCCUUUAAGACGCUGGAAGGAAACUGCACCUUUGACUCAGAGAGGAACGCGGCCAGGGGUGCACGUCCUGAGGUGGUCAGCCCCCACCUCGCGCUGUUGAACCUGGAAGGAUGCUUCGUCUCAAAGGAAACAUGGGCUUCAUUUAGCAACAAUUCCGUUAGGUUUCGAGCGCGGCCCUCGCUGCUGACGUGUGUUUAUCUCCUGUAGCGAAGAUGUGUCCAGCCCUGCGUAAUUUCCUGUGGCCUCACUAGGACCAUGACGCUUCCACGCAGCCGGAGGGACUGACUCUGCUGUCAGCGAGGGGCGGCUCCGUCGCUGGGACAGAGCCACAGGGCCCUUGUGCUCUGACGUGACUGAUCCGAGUUAAUAAACCAGUGUCACAACUGUGACUGAUAAGUUUGGUUUGGACUUUUCCCUGUGGACCAGCUGAGGCCAUGUGUUCUGGUCUGGCUUCCUCUCACCAUUGCGUCAUUUAAGGAGUUGGUAACAUCUUGAAGAAAGUGGCUUAAAAUAAUUUCUUGUCAGAAGCUCUGGAAUCUGAUCUUUCUGCACCGAGACCUUCCGUGGCUAAUAUGCUGACUCAGCCUGUGAACCUGCACAGGAAGACCUCCUCCUGGUCGACUCAGCUUUAAGGCUUCAUCGACUGUUCUUAAAACUGUUCACUUUCUUCUUCAGUCUAAGGAAAAGAUUUAAAUAUUUAAAAAAAUCAUUAGGAAAUAAUUUCUGUAGAACGCUGGGGGAACACGGUUUGUUGGGGCUUUAGUCCAAGGGUAGGACUUGUGUGAGGGUGGGGUCCGCGCGGGCUGCUCUGGGCCACCUGCCGUCUAGGAAGGACUCACAGAACGGUUUCCAGAAUGUUUCACUGAUUCGUCCCUUUGGGAGAGGCCGACCUCGUCGACGGGCAGUCUCCCGGGUCCCAGGGUCAGCGCUCGGUGCGGUUCCUGGGCCGAGACCCACCUGGCGCCCUCGGCUUCCUCCUCAGCCCUGCCCGUCGUCCUCUGUGUCUGACUGCCAGCGACGUUUGAUUCGAGAAGCUUCCUCCGAGGCGGGAGCUGCUAUUUUUCCUAAGUGCACAUUGUUAAAUAAAAUAUUUUGCGCUCUCAA